AGAGUUUGAUCCUGGCUCAGAUUGAACGCUGGCGGCAUGCCUUACACAUGCAAGUCGAACGGUAACGCGGGGGCAACCCUGGCGACGAGUGGCGAACGGGUGAGUAAUACAUCGGAACAUAUCCAGUAGCGGGGGAUAACCUAUCGAAAGAUGGACUAAUACCGCAUACGAUCUACGGAUGAAAGCAGGGGACCGCAAGGCCUUGCACUAUUGGAGUGGCCGAUGUCGGAUUAGCUAGUUGGUGGGGUAAAAGCUUACCAAGGCGACGAUCCGUAGCUGGUCUGAGAGGACGAUCAGCCACACUGGAACUGAGACACGGUCCAGACUCCUACGGGAGGCAGCAGUGGGGAAUUUUGGACAAUGGGCGCAAGCCUGAUCCAGCCAUGCCGCGUGAGUGAAGAAGGCCUUCGGGUUGUAAAGCUCUUUCGGUGAAGACGAAACGGUUCAUGCUAAUAACGUGAACUAAUGACGGUACUCACAGAAGAAGCACCGGCUAACUACGUGCCAGCAGCCGCGGUAAUACGUAGGGUGCAGGCGUUAAUCGGAAUUACUGGGCGUAAAGCGUGCGCAGGCGGUUUGCUAAGACAGGUGUGAAAUCCCCGGGCUUAACCUGGGAAUUGCGCUUGUAACUGGCAAGCUAGAGUGUGGCAGAGGGGGGUGGAAUUCCACGUGUAGCAGUGAAAUGCGUAGAUAUGUGGAGGAACACCGAUGGCGAAGGCAGCCCCCUGGGUUAACACUGACGCUCAUGCACGAAAGCGUGGGGAGCAAACAGGAUUAGAUACCCUGGUAGUCCACGCCCUAACUAUGUCAACUAGUUGUCGGGGAAGAAAUUCCUUGGUAACGAAGCUAACGCGUGAAGUUGACCGCCUGGGGAGUACGGCCGCAAGGUUAAAACUCAAAGGAAUUGACGGGGACCCGCACAAGCGGUGGAUUAUGUGGAUUAAUUCGAUGCAACGCGAAAAACCUUACCUACCCUUGACAUGCUAGGAAGCCCGCAGAGAUGUGGGUGUGCCCGAAAGGGAACCUAGACACAGGUGCUGCAUGGCUGUCGUCAGCUCGUGUCGUGAGAUGUUGGGUUAAGUCCCGCAACGAGCGCAACCCUUGCCAUUAGUUGCUACAUUCAGUUGGGCACUCUAAUGGGACCGCCGGUGACAAACCGGAGGAAGGUGGGGAUGACGUCAAGUCCUCAUGGCCCUUAUGGGUAGGGCUUCACACGUAAUACA
rnacentral:rRNA from 1 species